UGGGGAAUAUUGCACAAUGGAGGAAACUCUGAUGCAGCAACGCCGCGUGAGUGACGAAGGCCUUCGGGUUGUAAAGCUCUGUCAUCUGGGACGAUAAUGACGGUACCAGAGGAGGAAGCCACGGCUAACUACGUGCCAGCAGCCGCGGUAAUACGUAGGUGGCGAGCGUUGUCCGGAAUUACUGGGCGUAAAGGAUGCGUAGGUGGAAAUUUAAGUCAGAUGUGAAAUACCCGAGCUUAACUUGGGCACUGCAUAUGAAACUGGAUUUCUUGAGUGCAGGAGAGGAAAGCGGAAUUCCUAGUGUAGCGGUGAAAUGCGUAGAGAUUAGGAAGAACACCAGUGGCGAAGGCGGCUUUCUGGACUGUAACUGACACUGAGGCAUGAAAGCGUGGGGAGCAAACAGG
rnacentral:rRNA from 1 species